rnacentral:rRNA from 1 species
UACGGAGGAUGCAAGCGUUAUCCGGAAUGAUUGGGCGUAAAGCGUCCGCAGGUGGCUAUGUAAGUCUGCUGUUAAAGAGUGAGGCUCAACCUCAUAAGAGCAGUGGAAACUACAUGGCUAGAGUGCGUUCGGGGCAGAGGGAAUUCCCGGUGUAGUGGUGAAAUGCGCAGAUAUCGGGAGGAACACCAGUGGCGAAGGCGACUACCUGGCCUGUUCUUGACGCUGAGGCGCGAAAGCUAGGGGAGCAAACGGG